GAGGGAAACUUCUGCUAAUACCGGAUGUGCCCGACGGUGAAAGAUUUAUCACCUGGAGAUGAGCUUGCGUCUGAUUAGCUAGAUGGUGGGGUAAAAGCCUACCAUGGCGACAAUCAGUAACUGGUCUGAGAGGAUGACCAGUCACACUGGCACUGAGACACUGGCCAGACACCUACGGGUGGCUGCAGUCGAGAAUCUUCGGCAAUGGACGCAAGUCUGACCGAGCGACGCCGCGUGCGGGAUGAAGGCCUUCGGGUUGUAAACCGCUGUCGUAGGGAAUCAAAUGCAUGAGGGUACUCCCUUAUGUUUGAGAGAUCCUAGGAGGAAGGGGAGGCUAAGCUCGUGCCAGCAGCCGCGGUAAGACGAGCUCCCCAAACGUUAUUCGGUAUUACUGGGCUUAAAGAGUUCGUAGGCGGCUCUGUAGGUGAGAUGUGAAAGCCCUCGGCUUAACCGAGGAACUGCGUUUCAAACCACAGGGCUUGAGGGAGAUAGGGGUAAGCGGAACAGAUGGUGGAGCGGUGAAAUGCAUUGAUAUCAUCUGGAACACCGGUGGCG
rnacentral:rRNA from 1 species